rnacentral:lncRNA from 1 species
UCUGGCGCCUGGUGAUCUGGUGAUCUUUCUGUAAAAUAAAUACUAGAAUGCUGAUUCGGGAGAGGAGAGAAAAAAAGACAGGAAAAUGAAAGAGUUGGUCUGAAAAAUGAUGGGUGAAAAAAGGGAUCACGAAAACUGCUAUGGAAGGCCUUCCGGUUAGCCUUCGAUGUCAACAAUUUUACCGGUUGGCAAGAUGACCACGCUGACAAGUCGACAAGGAAAUUGGCACAAGAAAU